rnacentral:rRNA from 1 species
AUUGAACGCUGGCGGCAGGCCUAACACAUGCAAGUCGAACGCGUCGCGCACGGGUGAGUAAUGUCUGAGACAAUGUCCGAUGGAGGGGGAUAACUACGAGACACAGUAGCUAAUCCCGCAUUCCAUCGGCUGUGCACAGAUGGGAUUAGCUUGUAGGUGGGGUAACGGCUCACCUAGGCGACGAUCCCUAGCUGGUCUGAGAGGAUGACGAGCCACACUGGAACUGAGACACGGUCCAGACUCCUACGGGAGGCAGCAGUGGGGAAUAUUGCACAAUGGGCGCAAGCCUGAUGCAGCCAUGCCGCGUGUAUGAAGAAGGCCUUCGGGUUGUAAAGUACUUUCAGCGGGGAGGCGUUACUCGCAGAAGAAGCACCGGCUAACUCCGUGCCAGCAGCCGCGGUAAUAC